rnacentral:rRNA from 1 species
AGCAUGUGGUUUAAUUCGAUGAUACGCGAGGAACCUUACCUGGGCUCAAAUGUAUGUUGACGUAUUCUGAAAGGGAUACUUCUUCGGACAAUAUACAAGGUGCUGCAUGGUUGUCGUCAGCUCGUGCCGUGAGGUGUCGGGUUAAGUCCCAUAACGAGCGCAACCCCUAUCAUUAGUUGCCAUCAGGUCAAGCUGGGGACUCUAAUGAAACUGCCUACGCAAGUAGUGAGGAAGGUGGGGAUGACGUCAAAUCAGCACGGCCCUUACGUCCAGGGCUACACACGUGCUACAAUGGCCGGUACAAAGGGCAGCUACCUGGUGACAGGAUGCUAAUCUCAAAAGCCGGUCUCAGUUCGGAUCGGAGUCUGCAACCCGACUCCGUGAAGCUGGAAUCGCUAGUAAUCGUGAAUCAGAAUGUCACGGUGAAUACGUUCCCGGGCCUU